UACGUAGGGUGCGAGCGUUGCCCGGAUUUAUUGGGCGUAAAGGGCGCGUAGGCGGUCACGCACGUCCGUUGUGAAAUCGCUCGGCUCAACUGGGCGGGGUCAGCGGAUACGGCGUGGCUGGAGCAAGCUAGGGGGCAAUGGAAUUCCCGGUGUAGUGGUGGAAUGCGUAGAUAUCGGGAGGAACACCAGUGGCGAAGGCGGUUGCCUGGAGCUUUGCUGACGCUGAUGCGCGAAAGCGUGGGGAAGCGUAACGAGGA
rnacentral:rRNA from 1 species